rnacentral:lncRNA from 1 species
AGUUAAUACACACAAAGCAGUUAGAAUAAUGCCUGCCACAUAGUAGGUGCUCACUAAAGAAGGACAAGCUGUUUUCUUUCUUAUUCUCAGCCCCAGAGACAAUGGAGAGAGAAGCCCACAGAUGUGGGGCAUUAUUUACUAACCAGAGUCGUGUUAAUAAGCUCACAAAGCACAAUUAGCAGUCAUUUCAAUUCUGAGGUUUGCUUGACUAUAAAAGCUUCACAUUUCUUCCUCCCUGGUUUCUCUGCUAAUUACAACUGCCGCCGUCCAUCGCAGCUGCCACACAACAUGGGUGCUGACUGCCUCUAACGUAGUUGUUAAGGCGGCAUAAUGGGGCACAAUGACUAAUUGGCCAUCAUGCCCAGGAUGAAUGCGUCAGACAACAGCGGCUGGCCAGUUCCUGGCCUUGGCACCCCGAGCUGCACAGCCCCAGCACUCUCCCAGUGCACCCCUCCUCCACCUUCCCAAGCUGCCCGAUGGGACCAGCCGAUGAAAGGGUGCAGGGACAGGCGUGCAGAACUGGGAGGCUCUGGGGGCCCUCCCUGAGGCCAGCCCUGCCCCUAACUUGCUGUGUGACCAUGAGUUAGCCACUGAGUGUCUCUGGGCUGCACUUUAAUCAUCUAUAAAAUGGAGCCACCUUGCAGUUAGCUGAGGUCACGUGACAGCUCUGACCAAUGGGCUGUGGGCAGAAGCAACAAGCACCACUUCCGGGCUGAAGCAUGGAGAAGCAGAGAAGCAUGUGAUCUCCCCGCAGUCUCUUCCGGUCUUGUGACCCAGAAGGCCUUGUGGUGAGAUGGUGGAACUGAGCUGAGCUGGAAGCAGCCCAGGUUGCCAAAUUGUCAUUUGGAAGACACCCCUGGCAACCUUUGUAGAGCAAAAUUUCACCCAAGGGGAUCUCCCAUUCCUCUUUCCUGGAAGAGACUCCAGGGUAAGCAAAAAAUAGAUCCCAUCUCACCUCCACAGGGUGUGAGAAUCCUACAGAACUCUUGGUGCAUUUUGUAAAACCACAAACUUCUUGAGUUUGGAAAGAAUUCUGGAGUCUUUCAGUCCUAAGUCACAGACCCCAGCAUUGAUUACGGAGUCUACAGCAGCACAGAAUUCCAGAGUCACAGAAAUCAAAGCUCCAGGACAGUCCUGGAAAGAAACAGGAGAGCGUGGCCACCCAGCUGCCCAGCCACCAAGGCCUAACCCACCAGGGGGGCUAUAUUGGCUUCUUCUUGGGGACGCCCAGUACAGCAGGCCCCCCGGUCCUCCCUCCCCAGGCCUGUGUCUCACGUCUCCACAGUGGGAUUGCAAGCAAGCUGUCCCCAUGCAGCAGAUAAAUAAAUAAAUAAAUGAAGAGCAUGACUUUGUGUUUGAAGGACGAAUGCCAAGUUUCCUCUCUGGGGCCCUCUCGCAAACCUCCAU